AUUGUUGAAAUAUACUCAUUACUUGACUUAUAUAACUGUAACCCCUCUAUACAUUACCUUUAUAGUAACAAUUUUUAAAAAGCACUUGGAACAUUUACCAACAUAGGUAAUAUUCUAUAUUAUAAAAUAAGCCUCAAUAAAUUUAAAAGAAUUUAAAUCACUGAAAAUGUUUUCUGACUAAGAAUUUAACUUAGAAUCAGUAACAGGUAUAAAAAUUUCCGAAUACUUGGAAAAUAAAAGUUUUAAUAAUCCAUGGUUUAAAGUUUGUUUUGGAACAAAAUCUAAAUGAAUACACACUAUACCAAGAUCUUUAGAACAGAGAACAUAGAAAUAAAUUCUAACAUGCUGAAACAAUAUUUGAAGAGGACCAAUACCACUCAAUCUGAAAAGGAGAAUCUUUCUAAAUAAAUGGUGCUGGGAAAUUAAAUAUCCAAAUGCAAAAGAAUGAGGUUGGGCCCUCACCACAUAGCAUAUAUAAAAAUUGACUCAAAAUGGAUCAAAGACAAGCAAAACUAUAGAAUGAUAUUAAAUAAGGGAUGGGGGAAUGCUCUAUGACAUUAGCUACCAAAAAUCUUUUGGUAUGAUACUAAAAUUGUAAGAAAAAAGCUGGAUAGCAUCCAAUUUUAAAACUUCUAUAUAUCAAAGAACAUAUCAGCACAGUGGAAUUGAAAUUCAUGGAAUGAGAGGUAUGUGCAAAUUAUCUGAUAAAAAUUAGUAGCAAGAAUAUAGAAACUCCUACAAUUCAAAACUAAAAACCAACCCAAUUAAAAAAUAGGCAGAGGGACAAAAUAGUCAGACUAUUCCAUGUAUGUACAUGGAGUACAUUUUCACAUAGUGAAAUGGGGAGGGGCUGGGGAUAUGGCCUAGUGGCAAGAG